AUUGAACGCUGGCGGCAUGCCUAACACAUGCAAGUCGAGCGGAUGAAGGGUGCUUGUUCCUGGAUUCAGCGGCGGACGGGUGAGUGAUGCCUAGGAAUCUGCCUGGUAUUGGGGGAUAACAUCCUGAAGCGGGCGCUAAUACCGCAUACGUCCUGAUGUUGAAAGUGGGGGAUCUUCGGACCUCACGCUAUCAGAUGAGCCUAGGUCGGAUUAGCUAGCUGGUGGGGUAAAGGCCUACCAAGGCGACGAUCCGUAACUGGUCUGAGAGGAUGAUCAGUCACACGGGAACUGAGGCACGGUCCAGACUCCUACGGGAGGCAGCAGUCGGGAAUAUUGGACAAAGGGCGAAAGCCUGAUCCAGCAAUGCCGCGUGUGUGAAGAAGGUCUUCGGAUUGUAAAGCACUCUAAGUUGGGAGGAAGGGCAGUAAGUUAAUACCUUGCCGUUUUGACGGUACCAAAUGAAAAAGCACCGGCUAACUACGUG
rnacentral:rRNA from 1 species